rnacentral:rRNA from 1 species
UACGGAGGGUGCGAGCGUUGUCCGGAAUCACUGGGCGUAAAGGGCGCGUAGGCGGCCUGAUAAGUAGGGGGUGAAAUCCUGCGGCUUAACCGCAGGGCUGCCUUCUAAACUGUCAGGCUUGAGCACAGUAGAGGCAGGUGGAAUUCCCGGUGUAGCGGUGGAAUGCGUAGAGAUCGGGAAGAACAUCAGUGGCGAAGGCGGCCUGCUGGCUGUUGCUGACGCUGAGGCGCGACAGCGUGGGGAGCAAACAGG